GGUGAACGCUGGCGGCGUGCCUAAUACAUGCAAGUCGAGCGAACAGACGAGGAGCUUGCUCCUCUGACGUUAGCGGCGGACGGGUGAGUAACACGUGGAUAACCUACCUAUAAGACUGGGAUAACUUCGGGAAACCGGAGCUAAUACCGGAUAAUAUAUUGAACCGCAUGGUUCAAUAGUGAAAGACGGUUUUGCUGUCACUUAUAGAUGGAUCCGCGCCGCAUUAGCUAGUUGGUAAGGUAACGGCUUACCAAGGCAACGAUGCGUAGCCGACCUGAGAGGGUGAUCGGCCACACUGGAACUGAGACACGGUCCAGACUCCUACGGGAGGCAGCAGUAGGGAAUCUUCCGCAAUGGGCGAAAGCCUGACGGAGCAACGCCGCGUGAGUGAUGAAGGUCUUCGGAUCGUAAAACUCUGUUAUUAGGGAAGAACAAAUGUGUAAGUAACAAUGCACGUCUUGACGGUACCUAAUCAGAAAGCCACGGCUAACUACGUG
rnacentral:rRNA from 1 species